rnacentral:rRNA from 1 species
UACCAGCACCCCGAGUGGUCGGGACGAUUAUUGGGCCUAAAGCAUCCGUAGCCGGUUCUGCAAGUCUCCCGUUAAAUCCAGCUGCUCAACAGAUGGGCCGCGGAGGAUACUACAGAGCUAGGAGGCAGGAGAGGCAAGCGGUACUCAGUGGGUAGGGGUAAAAUCCGUUGAUCCAUUGAAGACCACCAGUGGCGAAGGCGGCUUGCCAGAAUGCGCUCGACGGUGAGGGAUGAAAGCUGGGGGAGCAAACCGG